GGCAAAGAUGCUCUUAAAACUCUGCUUGCCCUGAAUUGUGUGUUGUGAGCUUACUUAGAUGGAGGCAUGAGAGGCUGUGGGGGUCCAACAGGGUUGGGAAGAGUGCCUGGACUCUGAAACACUGUGAUGCACUGAUGGGCAGAGGGCCUGUUGCCAUGCAGUAGGCUGAAAUGAGGACAUACUGGGCCAAAUGAAGUUGGCUAGUUAAUUGGGGGUCAAAUGAAGACACGGGGCUCAGAUGAGCUCACAUGAGGUCAAAUCAAGGAAAAUAAGUGGUCCUGAAGGUCAAAUGUGUUUAAUUGGGGUCAGACGAUGUCUUAAAGGUCAUACAAGGUCACAGAGGUCAAGCGAGGUCAAAUCACAGAAAAUAAGUUGUCUGAAAGGUCAAAUGAGGUUAAUUGGGGUCACACGAGGUCACGAAGGUCAUACGAGGUCACAGAGGUCAAGGGAGGUCAAAUUAAGGAAAAAUAAGAGGCCUGAAAGGUCAAAUGAGGUUAAUUGGGGUCAAACGAGGACACAAAGGUCAGCUGAGGUCACAGAGGUCAAGUGAGGUCAAAUCACAGGAAAAUAAGUGGUCUGAAAGGUCAAAUGAGGUUAAUUGGGGUUAUAUGAGGUCACAGAGGUCAAGCAAGGUCAAAUGAGGUUAAUUGGGGUCAUAUGAGGUCACAGAGGUCAAAUGAGGUCACAGAGGUCAAGCGAGGACACAGUGAGCCACCUGGCCAUGAAAUAAGUGGCUUGAGUUGUCCCAGUAGGUUAAUUUCUGUCUAGCAAAGCCCCAGGGGUUUGGUUCCCACUGUGUACCUUAGGCCCAAUGGAUGGCUAAUGCUUCCGAUGGGCUCCUGUGAAGCCAAGCAAGUUGAGUGGCUGUUACAAUCUGCUGAGUAAAACAGUUGUUUAUUAGUAGCUAUUCGUAUCUGCAGGGGCUAGAAAUCAACUAAAGGGG
ensembl:lncRNA